rnacentral:rRNA from 1 species
AACGAACGCUGGCGGCAUGCCUAACACAUGCAAGUCGAACGAGACCUUCGGGUCUAGUGGCGCACGGGUGCGUAACGCGUGGGAACCUGCCCUUAGGUUCGGAAUAACUCCCCGAAAGGGGUGCUAAUACCGGAUAAUGUCUUCGGACCAAAGAUUUAUCGCCUUUGGAUGGGCCCGCGUUGGAUUAGCUAGUUGGUAGGGUAAAAGCCUACCAAGGCGACGAUCCAUAGCUGGUCUGAGAGGAUGAUCAGCCACACUGGGACUGAGACACGGCCCAGACUCCUACGGGAGGCAGCAGUGGGGAAUAUUGGACAAUGGGCGAAAGCCUGAUCCAGCAAUGCCGCGUGAGUGAUGAAGGCCUUAGGGUUGUAAAGCUCGUUUACCCGGGAUGAUAAUGACAGUACCGGGAGAAUAAGCUCCGGCUAACUCCGUG